CAAUGCCGCGUGCAGGAUGAAGGCCUUAGGGGUUGUAAACUGGUUUUGUACGGAACGAAACGGCUCUCUUUAAUACAGGGAGCUAAUGACGGUACCGUAAGAAUAAGCACCGGCUAACUACGUGCCAGCAGCCGCGGUAAUACGUAGGGUGCGAGCGUUAAUCGGAAUUACUGGGCGUAAAGCGUGCGCAGGCGGUUAUAUAAGACAGAUGUGAAAUCCCCGGGCUCAACCUGGGACCUGCAUUUGUGACUGUAUAGCUAGAGUACGGUAGAGGGGGAUGGAAUUCCGCGUGUAGCAGUGAAAUGCGUAGAUAUGCGGAGGAACACCGAUGGCGAAGGCAAUCCCCUGGACCUGUACUGACGCUCAUGCACGAAAGCGUGGGGAGCAAACAGGAUUAGAUACCCUGGUAGUCCACGCCCUAAACGAUGUCAACUGGUUGUUGGGUCUUCACUGACUCAGUAACGAAGCUAACGCGUGAAG
rnacentral:rRNA from 1 species